rnacentral:misc_RNA from 1 species
AACGCACCUUGCGCCCUUUGGCUAUUCCGAAGGGCAUGCCUGUUUGAGUAUCAUGAACAUCUCAACUCUCAUGGUUCGCCAUGAUGAGCUUGGACUUGGGGGUUUUGCUGGCGUACAGCCGGCUCCUCUCAAAUGAAUCAGCUUGCCAGUCUUUGGUGGCGUCACGGGUGUGAUAACUAUCUACGCUUGUGGGUCGUCUGCCAAGUAACCUUCAGCAAUGGAGGUCCGCUGGAGCUUAUAAACGUCUCUCCUCUGCGAGGACAAAUUUUUGAACGUUCGAUCUCAAAUCAGGUAGGACUACCCGCUGAACUUAA